AUUCCCCGCAGGCUCAAGCUGGCCGGGGCCGGGUUACUUUCAAACCAGGAGGAGAUCCUGGCUGAAGAGGUUUAAGAACUGCCGAGUGCAUCGGUGUGAAUGACCUCCGGGCCCAAACGUUUCUGCACUGCAUGCUGCAAACAAAGAAUAUGAAGAAAGGAAGAGGAGGACCGGACCGGCACAGUUCCUUUGUGUCUGGAUAGAAUAAAGGUAUCUUAGCCUGAAAAAAAUAAGGCAUACACAUCUCAGGCAGAGUUAUCAGUUAAAGAAUAGAUGCUCACAAAAACCUGUUCCCUUCUGAAACCUUACUAAAAUAGUAAAUUUUAAGAGUAAAUAUUAAAAUAAAUUAAUAAUGAAAUAUUAAAUUUACUAUUUUAAAAUAGUAAAUGUUUAAAAGGCAAUAACCCACAAACACAGAACAUGGAAAACAAAAUUUUUGCAAAGUGGAAAGUCUUUAGAUGAAUGGUAAUUUAGAUGAAAGAAAGAUGAAUCCUAAAGCCAGCAAUGGGAAAGCAGAAAAGCAGUUUGGUUUGCAUCACAGAACUCCCUAAAGGCUCAAGUUGAAUUAGUGACAACAGGUACUGAAUGAGGUGAAGGAGGGGCUAAAAGAGGGUAAAAGACUAUGUAUGAAGCGAAUAGACCCUUGGGUCCCCUCUCUCCUCUGUGUAUACAAGGAACUGCCCCUCCCCGAAGCUGGUACUAGACUUGAGAGGGUAAAUACAUGGUUAUCUGAACUGGAGACCAUCAGGCACAGUUAAGGGUUAGGUACCUAACUGAAACCAAAAGGAUUAAGUUUAUGCACUGAAGGUUGAACCUGUGAGCCUUCUUUCCUCACUUUACUCCCAGAAAUCUGGCAGCCUGGCUUGUAUCCUUCAGAGGACAUAAAAGCCUUCUCAAGGGAAUCCUACCUAUAUAGAAGAAAAGAUCUAAAGAUACCAAUAUCAGGGAUUUCAUAAUGUAACAACGCAGCCAGAUCACAGGAGAAUGAAGCCCACAUUGAAUAAGCCCCACCCCACCCCAAACCAAACAACCUUCCAGUCAGCUUUUUAGGGUCCCACUCUUUAAUAAGAGCAAACAAGCAAGACUUUGAAAAGGGCUUUAAUAUGAAAGAUGUCCAAACAAAGGAAUAUUCAAACAAAAAGCUCUUGGAUAUUAAAAAAAAAUACAUGAUAGUAGAAAAAAAGUAAACAAAAUAGAUAGGUUAGGAACAAGAAGUUUAGGAAAUCUCCAGAAGGAAGAAUAAAGAUGGGAAACAGAGGAUUAAAUAUAAGAAUAUUGGGAGACUAAUCUAGGAAGUCCAAAAUCCAAGUAACUUAUUUUUCACAACAAGAAAGGGAGUCAGGGGAAUCCACAAAUAACUCAAGAAAAUUUCCCAGACAAAAGAACUUGACCUUCCAUACUUUUUCCAUACUUUUCCAAACUUGACUUUUCCAAGUUUAAAGUACCCAGCUUCUGAACACAUCAUUGGGAAAAUUUCAAAAUAUUACAUACAAAGAGAAGAUACUAAGAGGUCUGGGGAGGGAGUGAGAGGGAAUGGACACAUACAAAAAAAAUAAGAAUCAGAAUAUCAUUGCAUUUCUCAGCAUUUAGAAGACAGAAAACAAUGGGCCAAUGCCUUCAAAAAUAAUUCUAAGGAAACAGGUACUGAAUGAGGUGAAGGUAGGGCUAAAAGAGUGUGAAGGACUAUGUAUGAAGCGAAUAGACCCUUGGGUCCCCUCCCUCCUCCCAACCUGGAACUCUAUACCUAGCCAACCUAUGAAUCGUGUGAUGACAGACACUCAAGAUCUCAAGAAAUUUAUCUCCCACACACUCUCUCAGGAAGGUAGUGGUGAUAAGUCAAGAAAGAAGUCAGGGGAUUAACACACAAUAUAACAGUGAAAGGAUACACCAACCCAAGAGGUGUGUAGCAAACCUAGAGAGUAAACCAAUCCAAACUGGAAUAUACCAAAACAGAA